CAAGCUUUCUGAAGAAGGAAGCUACACAAAUUUCCAGAAGAACUAGUAGGCUUAAUCUUCUGCACAAAAUUCUGCUUCAUCUUUAGUUAAGUUUUGUUUGCUUUCUAUUUCUUUUUGGUCUUUAGUUUCAUCCUAUAUUAUUAUUAGUUAACUGGUUUUAAUUUCGUUCCUUGGGUUUGAGUUUCUUCUCCAAAAUCCCUGGUUGAAUCAUGGAUAAGAGCAUGUUAGCUGGUUUUGAAUCACUUCUAGAAGCUGAUCAGCGAAGAAUGGCAUCCAUGAUGGAACAGGUACCUCCUCUUCACUCUAUCUGUUAACUAAUUUCAUGUGUUUUGAUUUGUGCUUCAUGUUCCUAAAAUUCUAAGUUAAGUCAGCACAAAUAGUUUCAAUUGGGACAAGGUUUGAAGGUUUAUGCUUAUAUAUCUUGAGUGUUAUCCAUUUCUAUAAACACAGCCUGCAGAUUCUCAU